UACGUAGGGAGCAAGCGUUGUCCGGAAUCAUUGGGCGUAAAGCGCGCGUAGGUGGCCCUGUAAGUCCGUUGUGAAAGUCAAAGGCUCAACCUUUGAAAGCCGAUGGGAUACUGCAGGGCUUAGAGUACGGAAGAGGCGAGUGGAAUUCCUGGUGUAGCGGUGGAAUGCGCAGAUAUCGGGAGGAACACCAAUGGCGAAGGCAGCUCGCUGGGACCGGUACUGGACGCGUGAGACGCGAAAGCGCGGGAGGCAACAGG
rnacentral:rRNA from 1 species